CAUUGUUGGAUUAAGAGUGAAGAAUGAUAGUUUAGCAUUUUGGGGAUAUUAUUCCAUUCAAAUUAGUUUUUUCAAAUUACAGGAGAUGGAGGAGGUAUAUUAUGAAUUGUUUUCUCGGUUUUAGAACUUUAUUUUUGUUGCCUUGCUAACUUCAGUAGCUAGCUAGCUACCAGCGCGAAUGUGUAGUUUUCUCUGCCAGAAUGGCCAAUGCUGCCGAAAAUGUUAUGGACUUUUUGUUGAAGAACCCCUUUCAUUGUCUGGGGUACAUGGAAAAGUUGCAAAUUAAAUGCAGGGUUUGACCUCUGCCUGAACUCAGCUUCAUGAAGGAUGAAAAGUUGAGGGCGUUCAAUACCAACUGGUAUCAAAAGUAUAUCUGGUUAACAGGGAACUUUCAUCGAAGCAGGAUUUAUUGCUGACCUUACCUGCUUUUUGGAAAGUCUGCGCCUUGGUCGAAAGGUGGGUACAGUGACCUGAAGAACAUUGAUCGUUCAGCUAAAUGGCAAAACAGAAGCAGGGAGCACAUAAAUGCCCACAUCAGAUUCAAGCUUCUGGGAAAAAGCUGCAUCGAUUAUGACAAAGGUCUGCGUAUUCAAACUGCGCAACACAACGAGAAAGUAAGAAGAAACAGGGAUGUUAUCAAGCUGCUUAUCAACACAACUGCGUUUUUUGGCAUGCAAUAAUUUACUUUUAGAGGACACGACGAGAGGUAAAGUUCCACCAACAAGGGCAACUACUACAAGGAGCUUGCAGAGCCAAGUCCCCUCCUGUUCCCUGAUUUAAAGAGGUGAUGACUACUCCACUUCACUACCAUUGUCAACUUUCUCCUGACAUUAACUGAAGCCCCUUCUCAUGUGCCCGCUCUUACACUGGCACGCACAUUGAAUACUUCCCCUCCAAGCACUUCAAAUCCUGUCCUGCACUGGUCAAGCCUCAUACCUCAACUCAACUCAUGCCUCAUACCUUCAUUCAAUCACUGCUGUAAUCCCUUUCCAACAUGGUCAUCUUCACAAGGUCCAGGACACCUACACCACCCGAUGUUACAGGAAGGCCAUAAAGAUCAUCAAGGACAUCAACCACCCGAGCCACUGCCUGUUCACCCCGCUAUCAUCCAGAAGGCGAGAUGAACGUGGUACCUUCAGGCAUUUGGAAAUUGCUCCCAAGAAUGAACCAGACUUGUGGAGGUCUACAAUAUUUUUUUCUGAGGUCUUCGCUGAUUUCUUCUGAUUUUCCCAUAAUGUCAAGCAAAGAGGCACUGAGUUUGAAGGUAGGCCUUGAAAUACAUCCACAGGUACACCUCCAAUUGACUCAAAAUAUGUCAAUUAGAAUAUCAGAAGCUUCUAAAACCAUGACAUAAUUUUCUGGAAUUUUCCAAGCUGUUUAAAGGCACAGUCUACUUAGCGUAUGUGAACUUUUGCCCCACUGGAAUUGUGUUAUAGUGAAUUAUAAGUUAAAUAAUCUGUCUGUAAACAAUUGUUGGAAAAUUUACUUGUGGCAUGUAAAAAGUAGAUGUCCUAACCAACUUGGCAAAACUAUAGUUUGUUAACAAGAAAUUUGUGGAGUGGUUGAAAAACGAGUUUUAAUGACUCCAACCUAAGUGUAUGUAAACUUCCGUCUUCAACUGUACAUACAAAAUAAUACGAAAUGCUCUGAGACCAGGUUGAUGGGGAAGGAUAACGAAUGUCCUUUGCUUUAGCUUCAAUUCCAUGUGCUAAGUUUUUUUGGGUCUUUCUCCCAACUAUUUUACUCCACUGUCUACAGAAAGGAAGAAACGAUGGAAAGACUAUUGUGAAAUGAUCUGAACAAAAAGCAGUCAGUCUGACAAACACACACACACCAGACGAUAGAUUCGAGGAGAAACCCACCAAAAAUCCCUUCAGAACUUCAGUCUGUCUUUUGUCAGCCUAUCUAGCGCUGCUAUCACACUAUGUGAACGCACGCUGAUGCCCCACAGUAGGCCUCUGCUGCAUAUCUGUCUGCCUGUCCAUCAGUCACGGCUGAGUCAAACAUGACAGCCUCUGCCUGUGUGUCUGAGAGCGUUAAAGCACAGUGUAAUCUGACAACACAAAGCAGUAAGAGCUCUAAAAUAACUAUGAAAGCUCUACUCUGUACCCAUUGUUUUAAUAAAGCUCUACUCUGUACCCAUUGUUUCAAUAAAGCUCUACUCUAUAACCAUUGUUUCAAUAAAGCUCUACUCUGUAACCAUUGUUUCAAUAAAGCUCUACUCUGUAACCAUUGUUUCAAUAAAGCUCUACUCUGUAACCAUUGUUUCGAUAAAGCUCUACUGUGUAACCAUUGUUUCAAUAAAGCUCUACUCUAUAACCAUUGUUUUAAUAAAGCUCUAC